rnacentral:rRNA from 1 species
CCUACGGGUGGCAGCGGUGGGGAAUAUUGGACAAUGGGGGGAACCCUGAUCCAGCGACGCCGCGUGAGUGAAGAAGUAUUUCGGUAUGUAAAGCUCUAUCAGUAGAGAAGAAAGAAAUGACGGUACCUGACUAAGAAGCCCCGGCUAAAUACGUGCAAGCAGCCGCGGUAAUACGUAGGGGGCAAGCGUUAUCCGGAUUUACUGGGUGUAAAGGGAGCGUAGACGGUUACGCAAGUCUGGAGUGAAAGGCGGGGGCCCAACCCCCGGACUGCUUUGGAAACUGUAUAACUGGAGUGCAGGAGAGGUAAGUGGAAUUCGUAGUGUAGCGGUGAAAUGCGUAGAUAUUAGGAGGAACACCAGUGGCGAAGGCGGCUUACUGGACUGUAACUGACGUUGAGGCUCGAAAGCGUGGGGAGCAAACAGGAUUAGAUACCCUGGUAGUC